UCAUAAUGCCUGCUAAUAAAGUUUUAUUG
rnacentral:piRNA from 1 species